UGUCCAGGGAUGGGAAUCGAACCCACAGUGUUCCGCUUACUGGGCAGAUGCCAUGUCCACUAGACC